UACGUAGGGGGCAAGCGUUGUCCGGAUUUAUUGGGCGUAAAGAGCGUGUAGGCGGCCAGGUAGGUCCGUUGUGAAAACUGGAGGCUUAACCUCCAGCUGUCGAUGGAAACCAUCUGGCUAGAGUCCGGAAGAGGAGAGUGGAAUUCCUGGUGUAGCGGUGAAAUGCGCAGAUAUCAGGAAUAACACCCGUGGCGAAGGCGGCUCUCUGGGACGGUACUGACGCUGAGACGCGAAAGCGUGGGGAGCGAACAGG
rnacentral:rRNA from 1 species